GCGCACGGUGGAUGCCUUGGCACUAGAAGCCGAUGAAGGACGUUACUAACGACGAUAUGCUUUGGGGAGCUGUAAGUAAGCUUUGAUCCAGAGAUUUCCGAAUGGGGAAACCCAGCAUGAGUUAUGUCAUGUUAUCGAUAUGUGAAUACAUAGCAUAUCAGAAGGCACACCCGGAGAACUGAAACAUCUUAGUACCCGGAG
rnacentral:rRNA from 1 species